GUUCAAACAAGUAGGCGUAGUAAUAUCUUCGGCUGCCCUACAUAAUUCCACAUGGCUUCGCUUCCGUCGACCGGAGGAAGCCCGGCGGCGAUGGCGAACAAACUCCACCGCUUGUUGACCAUCCCAUGGAAGCGUGAGAUCGCGCAGCCGGGAUUAGGGCUAGGGUUGAGGUUUCCGGGCGCGAGGUCCCUUGCGUCUUCCGUUCCAACGCCGGAAGAGGCAGCUCGAUUCGCUCCCUCUCCUACCCCGUCCAAGCCGGAAGUGGAGGAGGAAGACUCGGCCUCGACGAAAGGGGAAGAAGGCACCACGGUGGAGGAAGAGGACGAUGGCGUCCACACGAACAAGCUCACCGGCGAGGUCGGCGGGCCGAAGGGCCCCGAGCCUACGCGGUACGGCGAUUGGGAGCGCGGAGGCCGCUGCUCAGACUUCUAGUUACUUGAAUCAACAAGGCACAUUGAAUAAACAAAGGAGGCCAGACAUGGAGUCAUCAAAUAGAUUGCCUCAUCUAGUGUAAGUCCUGCUUAAAUGCGAUGUCACGACUCCGGUCUUGACGUGGUGUAAGCCCUGUUUAUUUAAAGGCAAAUAGACUCUUGUAGCAGUUUUUGCAAGAACAAGUCACUAAACUGAAUGAUGUCCCAUCAGCAUUGAAUAAUUUCAAUAUUUUUAUUAAUGUAAUUGGUAGAUACUGAAUUUUGUCCA